AUUGAACGCUGGCGGCAGGCCUAACACAUGCAAGUCGAACGAGUGGCGGACGGGUGAGUAAUGUCUGGGACACUGCCUGAUGGGGGGGGAAAACUUCUGGAAACGGUAGCUAAUACCGCAUACCCUCAGAUGUCCCCAGAUGGGAUUAUCUAGUAGGUGGGGUAAAGGCUCACCUAGGCGACGAUCCCUAGCUGGUCUGAGAGGAUGACCAGCAACAAUGGAACUGAGACACGGUCCAGACUCCUACGGGAGGCAGCAGUGGGGAAUAUUGCACAAUGGGCGCAAGCCUGAUGCAGCCAUGCCGCGUGUAUGAAGAAGGCCUUAGGGUUGUAAAGUACUUUCAGCGGGGAGGCGUUACCCUCAGAAGAAGCACCGGCUAACUCCGUGCCAGCAGCCGCGGUAAUAC
rnacentral:rRNA from 1 species